GAUGAAGAACGUAGCGAAAUGCGAUAAUUAAUGUGAAUUGCAGAAUUCCGUGAAUCAUCGAGUCUUUGAACGCACAUUGCGCCUCAUGGCACUCCGUGAGGCAUGCCCAUCUCAGCGUUAGAAAAUAUUCUCAAAUUUUAGUUUUGUGCUAAAAUUUGGAUCAUGUCAAAGAAGCUAUUACUAUUAUUGUGAUCGCUCUUUGGAAAUUGAUAGGUCUUUGAGUUGCUACUCAUAGAACGUGACGAAUCUUUCUUCGUUCUAUUGUAAUUCACUCUGGUAGUCCUAAAACUUGUAUGCCUGUGGCAUAUCUUGUAAUUUGACCUGAGAUUGGGUAGGGAUACCCGCUGAACUUAAGCAUAUCAAUAAGCGGAGGA
rnacentral:misc_RNA from 1 species